AGACGUCUACAUUAGAUACCCGUGUAGUCCCAGCCGUAAACUAUGCGCGUUAGGUGUACUGGUGACCACGAGUCACCGGGGUGCCGAAGGGAAACCGUGAAACGUGCCGCCUGGGAAGUACGGUCGCAAGACUGAAACUUAAAGGAAUUGGCGGGGAGCACCACAACGCGUGGAGCCUGCGGUUUAAUUGGAUUCAACGCCGGAGAUCUCACCAGGGGCGACAGCAGUAUGAUGGCCAGGUUGAUGGCCUUGCUUGACAAGCUG
rnacentral:rRNA from 1 species